rnacentral:lncRNA from 1 species
CAAACUGCUGGUUACGCAUGUCAGUCAGCCUGUUGCAGUGGUCACAAGUGAGAAUGUAACCAGAAGCUGGGCGUGCUCGGCCAUUUUGCAUAUGGCACAGGAUAAAGCUUCACCUCUGCCAUUGCUUCUCUUAUAAUAAUGGCCUCCGAGUAUACAUGCCGAGUUAUGCUUCUGGGGACACCUAUUAGUUAACCUUAUCAGGUAAUACCAUUAGCCUUAUGGGUGCUAUAAUGUUGCAGUGCCUGCAGGAUGGCCAGCAUUACAACACAUUAAAAUUAUUGUACAAGUCAUGCAAUGGUAUCGGGAUUGGCCCACCAAGUGACAACCUUUAAUUACACUAUACCUGGGAUCAGCUCACUCAGUCAGGGAGACAUCCAUGCAUAAGGGGAGGGGUAUGGCAAAUAGAGGGCGUUCGAUUAAUCUUUCUCACAUAGAUAGCUGAUACAUAUAAUCUUUCUUAAAUUGGAUGCUUUGUUGCUCAAAGUGAAGUUACUUAUGGGCAUAAUGUCAGCAUUUCGAUCCUAUUUAUGCUUAACGAAAGUUGCUUUGUUCAGUGUCACUUUUUAUAUUGUUUCGCUUGUGAUUCUAAGCUCACUUGUUUUAUAGCUGCUGUAGGUAUGGCUGGACCUGGAGAAGAAGUGUAAGCAGACCAUGCUAUGUUGCUGAUCUGCGCUGAUCUCCACAUCCAAGUUGGUCCCGCGACAGUUGGGCGCCACUGUGCCUUGCUUUAUUGACAAGGUGAUAUAAUAUGGUGCCCUGCUCGCUCUCACCCAAGCAACCCACUCCAGCGGUCUUCUCUCGGCAGACUGGAUGCAUCGAAAUACCGUUAGAAGGUCCAAUAAACAGUGCUUGGGACAUUUA